GUCCGAGUGGCUCAACGGAAGAGCACCUGACUACGGAUCAGGGGGUUGCAGGUUCGAAUCCUGUCUCGGAUG
rfam:Bodo saltans strain Lake Konstanz genome assembly, contig: BS_scaffold1352